rnacentral:rRNA from 1 species
CGCUGAGUUUGAUCCUGGCUCAGAUUGAACGCUGGCGGUAUGCCUUACACAUGCAAGUCGAACGGUAGAGGGGCAACCCUUGAGAGUGGCGAACGGGUGAGUAAUACAUCGGAACGUGCCCAGUCGUGGGGGAUAACGUAGCGAAAGCUACGCUAAUACCGCAUACGACCCGAGGGUGAAAGCGGGGACUCGCAAGAGCCUCGCGCGAUUGGAGCGGCCGAUGGCAGAUUAGGUAGUUGGUGGGGUAAAGGCCCACCAAGCCUGCGAUCUGUAGCUGGUCUGA